AUCAUUUUGUGGUUAGCAACAGAAUGGAUGAUGAUAUAGUCCGAUCCUCAUGGUGACAUGAGAGGUGCGCCUGAAAUGGCGUGCCGAAACAAUUGGCCAGCAGGAGCGGUAAUACAGAGGCCCCAAGCAUUAUCCGGAAUCACUGGGCGUAAAGGGUGUCAAGGCGGUCAUGUUAGUCGUUCGUAAAAUCCUGGAGCUCAACUUCAGGCCCGCGAGCGAAACGGCAUGACUAGAGGUUGGAAGAGGUGCGUGGAACUCACGGUGUAGGGGUGAAAUCCGUUGAUAUCGUGGGGAACACCAAAGGCGAAGGCAGCGCACUGGUCCAAAUCUGACGCUCACACACGAAAGCCAGGGUAGCGAACGGGAUUAGAUACCCCGGUAGUCCUGGCCCUAAACGUUGCUCGCUCGUUCUACGGAGUAUCGACCCUCUGUGGGACUAAGCUAACGCGGUAAGCGAGCCGCCUGGGUAGUACGAUCGCAAGAUUAAAACUCAAAGGAAUAGACGGGGACUUGCACAAGCGGUGGAUCAUGUGGCUUAAUUCGUCGGUAAGCGAAGAACCUUACCCAGGCUAGAAAUCCAACUGCAUCCCAUCCGAAAGGGAGGGAGCCUUCGAGGGUGUUGGACAGGUGAUGCAUGGUUGUCGUCAGUUCGUGGCUUGAGCUGUUCCCUUCAGUGGGGUAACGAACGCAACCCUCGUUGUCUGUUAUAUAUGUCAGGCGAGACUGCCCCCUCACGGGGGAGGAAGGUGGGGAUGACGCCAAAUCAGCAUGUCCCUUGAUGCCUGGGGCUGCACACGUGAUACAAUGGUCGGUACAGAAGGACGCGAUACCGUAAGGUGGAGCAAAUCCCAAAAACCGACCCCAGUACGGAUCGAGGUCUGCAACCGACCUCGUGAAGCCGGAAUCGCUAGUAAUCGUGGGUCAGCCAUACCACGGUGAAUACGUUCUCAAGUCUUGUACUCACCGCCCGUCAACUCAGGGAAGUUGGAGGUACCCGAUAUCUUACUUUAGGUAGGACUACGGUAAAUUCAAUGACAAGGAGUAAGUCGUAACAAGGCACGGGUAGCGGAAGCUGCUCGUGGAACAUAUCCAAU
rnacentral:rRNA from 1 species